rnacentral:rRNA from 1 species
GACGAACGCUGGCGGCGUGCCUAAUACAUGCAAGUAGAACGCUGAAGGAGGAGCUUGCUUCUCUGGAUGAGUUGCGAACGGGUGAGUAACGCGUAGGUAACCUGCCUGGUAGCGGGGGAUAACUAUUGGAAACGAUAGCUAAUACCGCAUAAGAGUAGAUGUUGCAUGACAUUUGCUUAAAAGGUGCAAUUGCAUCACUACCAGAUGGACCUGCGUUGUAUUAGCUAGUUGGUGGGGUAACGGCUCACCAAGGCGACGAUACAUAGCCGACCUGAGAGGGGGAUCGGCCACACUGGGACUGCGACACGGCCCAGACUCCUACGGGAGGCAGCAGUAGGGAAUCUUCGGCAAUGGACGGAAGUCUGACCGAGCAACGCCGCGUGAGUGAAGAAGGUUUUCGGAUCGUAAAGCUCUGUUGUAAGAGAAGAACGAGUAUGAGAGUGGAAAGUUCACACUGUGACGGUAUCUUACCAGAAAGGGACGGCUAACUACGUG